rnacentral:rRNA from 1 species
UACGUAGGCAGCAGGCGUUGUUCGGAAUUACUGGGCGUAAAGAGUGUGUAGGCGGUGCUCUAAGUUCGGUGUGAAAUCUCCCGGCUCAACUGGGAGGGUGCGCCGAAAACUGGAGUGCUGGAGCGCGGGAGAGGAAAGCGGAAUUCCCGGUGUAGUGGUGAAAUGCGUAGAUAUCGGGAGGAACACCAGUGGCGAAGGCGACUUCCUGGCCUGUUCUUGACGCUGAGGCGCGAAAGCUAGGGUAGCAAACGGG